AACGAACGCUGGCGGCAGGCCUAAAACAUGCAAGUCGAACGGCAGCACGGGAGCUUGCUCCUGGUGGCGAGUGGCGAACGGGUGAGUAAUAUAUCGGAACGUACCCUAGAGUGGGGGAUAACGCAGCGAAGGUUGCGCUAAUACCGCAUACGAUCUACGGAUGAAAGUGGGGGAUCGCAAGACCUCAUGCUCAUGGAGCG
rnacentral:rRNA from 1 species